ACAGAUGACUUUCGAAAAAGAAAAAUCUUAUUUUGGGUUCGAACCGCAAGUAGUUUCAUAGCGGAAAUUGAGAUCUUAAACUUUGAAAUCCUCUCUAAAAGAAUGGCUGUAAGGAACAACAAAAUAAAAGACACCCCACAUGGCCCUUAAACCCAGAGACUGACAGUCUAUCAUCAUAAAUGAAUCUCACAGUAACACACUGAGGCAGAGAGAGCAGGGAAAAACACACGAGCGCAGAGAGAGGUACCAGAAUGAAAUACUUACAUCGGUUGGCAAAAAGUGUUGCCAGACUUAUGACAUCAAAACAACUCAAUCCCGUAGAUUUCUGAUGCAUUUGGGGGGGAAGAAAGAACGAGUUAAAGACUUCUCUCAGAGCGUGCAGUGAAGCCUUUUGUCAGCAGUUGGCAUCAGUCCCAGGUAGUACAUGCCUCACGGUUCCCAUUUCCAGUAGUCAUUACAGACGUCUUUAGCUGUUCUGCACCUGCCUGUGUUUUUUGUUUUGAUUUGAACCGCUUUCACGCUUUCAGAUAAGAUGGUAAAAUUGCCCGGUCGCAAUGAGAUGAAAGAAAAGAAAAGAAAGAAAGCAACCUAACAACCAGCCACUCCUCGAACACAACCACUUUCCUUCUAUGAUUCCUACCCCUCUCCUCAGGACACUCAUGCCUCUCCGGAAGGAAACCCUCAGAGACGUCUGGACAGACGACCGGUCUCAAGAAAGUCAAGAUAUGUCCACUCCACAUAAGGUAAAAGACAAUCAUACCAAGUUUUAAAAUACAAAAAGAUACCUACAUCAGGGUGUGCCUUUGCGUACAUUUUUAAGACACUUGUUGUCCAUUUUACAUGUGUGUGUGUGUGUGUGUGUGUGUCGUUUAGUUCCUGUGUUGUGUUCGAGUCAAAGUUGGUUUGGGGGGGGGGGGGGGGGGGGUCCGUUAUCACAUGUGUAUAAUGGACCUGUGUUUGUCCUCUAACACACCUCCUCCCCUGCCAUGUUGGUUCGUCCCGUUGACGUGUCUCUGCCUUUGAAGAGCUGAUGACUUUACACAUAAAUCCUAUUAGCAACUUUCUGCUGAUUGCCAGCCAUUGAGUCCCAGGCUACUCACUCGCUUUAUUAUCUCCAUUGUGUUGAAUUUCCCCCCUCCCUCUUCCUUUUAAACUAAAAACUUUUAUGGAAAAGAGGAGUCUGUAGUUUGUUAGAGCUGAAGUCACUGGCCACACAAUGUCUGCAGAGAAGGUAACGUUAUCGAAACUGUUUUGAGGGGCUUUUCUUGUCGAAGGGACGCCGGAGAGAAGGAAUAUUCGCGAUGGGUCCUAUAAAGUUAAUAACAUUUCUCAUAUAGCAUUUUGAUUCAUUCGGAUAUACUGUAAUGGUGUUUACGAUGACUACGGGUCAAAUUACUUGCCCUCUUGAUUGCUAGACAAUUCAGUGGAUAGAAAACCGGUUGAGUGAUUGAGCAUGCUGCUGUGGUAUUGUUACAGUUCUAAAGUGACUGGUUUUACCCCAGCCUGUUGUGCGUCGUGAGUAGCCCUUCCUCACAGGAGUAGGACGGGAGCCUCCUGUUUCGUAGCGUGAGGCAGCUUCAGUUAAAAAGGACACCCUCUGGAUGCGAGUCUAUCACAAGGCCCCCAAAUCUAUCAUCUUAACGCAGAGUGCCAAGCAGAGGUGCAUUGGGUCCCAUUGGUAUCACUCGGACAGCGAUCAAACUAUUACACCUCCAAUCGUACUUUAACCGCAAGGCCAGAAUCGGUGUCUGUUGCGUAUUGAUGGUUAUGUAGAAUUGGCCACUGGGCUGUGAUGAGGCUCUGGUACAUUUGUGAGGUAACAUAUUUGCUGUGAUGUGGGAAAGGGGGUAGGGGGGGGGGGGGGUAGAGGGUCAAUGUUGACUCUCAUUCAUGAAAUAGCCAACAAUCUAUUUGAUGGACAUAUUCAGAUUUCUCUUGAAAAAAAUCCAUGAUGACCGCUUGGUCUGCAGGCCGCUAGUGGCAGCUUGUCUGAGGUGAGGACAGAAAUAGAGCCACAUCUUAAUCGGAUUACUGUGGGCCAUCCAUCGCUGCACUCCGUCGUCAGUCCGUGUUUAAAUGAACAGAAUAACAGUGACUGACCUUAUUCCAGUUUUCUUGGGAUGCUGUGGUGUGGUGAUAGUUGGUCCCCCCCCCCCACACACACACACAGCAGCCUUGUGUAAUUGAUAUGACUCUGUUUAUUACUCUAAAUCUCUAAAGCCCUACUGCUACAUUAUAAUAAUGUAACUUCAUUUUUUAACACUGGAUGUGACAAGACAUGUUUGUGAUUGAGGCAGGUGACUAAUGCUUGAUUGUUAGGUCACUGUGUCAGAAGGGCAGGUUACAUAACAUAGAAAGUAUUACCUAGAAUAUUAGAAUGAUUGUUAUCUGUUCCAAAUGUAGACAUUACUGAAUUGGCCACUCUUUCCUUUUUGAAAAUGAAUCGGUUUUAAGAGAAUGUCUUGACAGUCGUAAAAAUAUAUAAUAUGGGAUAAUCAAGUAUACUGUG
ensembl:lncRNA